UUAAGCAUAUCAAUAAGCGGAGGAAAAGAAACUAACAAGGAUUCCCCUAGUAACUGCGAGUGAAGCGGGAAGAGCUCAAAUUUAAAAUCUGGCGUGCCUCCGGCCGUCCGAGUUGUAGUCUGAAGAAGCGUUUUCCGUGUUGGACCGUGUAUAAGUCUCUUGGAACAGGGCGUCAUAGAGGGUGAGAAUCCCGUCUUUGACACGGACUACCAAUGCUUUGUGAUGCGCUCUCAAAGAGUCGAGUUGUUUGGGAAUGCAGCUCAAAAUGGGUGGUAAAUUCCAUCUAAAGCUAAAUAUAGGCGAGAGACCGAUAGCGAACAAGUACCGUGAGGGAAAGAUGAAAAGCACUUUGGAAAGAGAGUUAAACAGUACGUGAAAUUGCUGAAAGGGAAACGCUUGAAGUCAGUCACGUCUGCCAGGACUCAGCCUCGCUUCUGCUUGGUGCACUUUCUGGUUUGAUGGGCCAACAUCAAUUUUGACCGUUGGAGAAAGGCUUUGGGAAUGUGGCACCUUUGGGUGUGUUAUAGCCCUUUGUCAUAUACAACGGUUGGGAUUGAGGACCGCAGCAUGCCUUUAUGGCCGGGGUUCGCCCACGUACGUGCUUAGGAUGUUGGCAUAAUGGCUUUAAGCGACCCGU
rnacentral:rRNA from 1 species